AAGCGGAGGAAAAGAAACUAACAAGGAUUCCCCUAGUAACGGCGAGUGAAGCGGGAAGAGCUCAAAUUUGAAAUCUGGCAGUCUUCGAUUGUCCGAGUUGUAAUCUAUAGAGGCGUUUUCCGUGCCGGACCGUGUCCAAGUCUCCUGGAAAGGAGUAUCAAAGAGGGUGAUAAUCCCGUACUUAACACGACCACCGGUGCUCUGUGAUACGUCUUCUACGAGUCGAGUUGUUUGGGAAUGCAGCUCAAAAUGGGUGGUGAAUUCCAUCUAAAGCUAAAUAUUGGCGAGAGACCGAUAGCGAACAAGUACCGUGAGGGAAAGAUGAAAAGCACUUUGGAAAGAGAGUUAAACAGUACGUGAAAUUGUUGAAAGGGAAACGAUUGAAGUCAGUCGUGUUCUUUGGAUUCAGCCAGUUCUGCUGGUCUACUUCCUUUGAACGGGUCAACAUCAGUUUUGUCCGGUGGAUAAAGGUAGUAGGAAUGUGACUUCCCCGGAAGUGUUAUAGCCUAUUAUCACAUACACUGGGUGAGACUGAGGACUGCAGCUCGCCUUUAUGGCCGACCUUCGGGUACGUUCGAGCUUAGGAUGUUGACAUAAUGGCUUUAAACGACCCGUCUUGAA
rnacentral:rRNA from 1 species